UCGGGUGGAGGAGAACAAUGGGUCUCUCAUGCUUGGGUGGCACACCCGGCCGCUCAUAGCCACCUCGGCUUGGCAGCUGGCGAGCGCAACCGAGUGAGUGUGCGAGUCAACUCAGUGUUCAGUAAGAUAGAGAACCGACUCUAAAAGAACCUUUGGGGGUGGUGAUUGAUUGAUUGAACCACUGGGCACCCAAUGGGGUGCGACACUGUGACCAUGUGAGUUGUGACUUGUCAGUAGAGAGAGAGUCGGGACUACAGUCAAAUGUGAAACUGUAAAACCAAUCCAAUCCAAUCAAGUGGUGUAAUACUGUGUGGUUGUAAUUGUAAUGGUCGUUUUUCAUGG
rnacentral:lncRNA from 1 species